AUGCUCACUUCGGCAGCACAUAUGCUAAAGUUGGAACGAUGCAGAGAAGAUUAGUACGGCCCCUGAGCAAGAAUGACAUGCAAAAUCAUGAAGUGUUCCAUAUUUUU